CCUUAUACAACUCGAGGGCACCAUUACACACACUUUCGUUUUUCAAGUCUAAGAGCAAAACCCCGAGUCUUUCUUCACUUCGAGCAAAAUCCCGAGCCUUAACAUCUCUCACUCCCACUUUGGCCUUAGAGAGUUUUGUUGGAUUGGGAAUUUAGGGUUUUUUCGAUUAACUGUUCAGCUCACUUUGCCUAGGCGAAGACGGAGGCUAGGUGGAAGACGGAGGUACAGUCCAAUGACUUCGUCUUCAUUCUCUCAAGUCUGAUUGUCUCAUCUAAUUUCUGAAAACCCAAACCUCCUUAAAACCUUCAACCCAGUCUCUGCGACGAUCGACGGCAGCGGCACGACGACCUCGUCUCGUUCUCGCAACGUCACUCUGUCAGUCACUCAAUCUCGCUUUUGGUGGUGGAGCAGAAGAAAGAAAAGAAAAAAAUAAGAAGGGGUCGGGAAAGAGAGGAGAAAGAAGAGAAUAGAGGGAUGUUGAGAAAGAUAGAGAAGAAAAGAAGAAGAAAUAGGAAGAGGGAAGAAGAAGAUGUUUAUCUUCCGGAGGGUUGCUUUCUAAGGGAGAGGAGAUCAUAAACGAGAGAGAAGGAGAGAGACGAGUUUGUUUGAAGUUAAAAGGCAAGAACAUGGUAUUGGGUUCAGUUUCUUUUUGGUAAUAUAUGAGAAAUUUAUGAAUGCUAUACGUGAAAGUUGGUGUCUAGGUAGUAAUUCGGUCUCAUCUGUUCUUUUUGUCUUCAAGUAAUCAAUUUGUAUGAAAUUUGAUUGGGAAGCAAGUGCUUCAAUCUCAUAGUUUUUGUUUUUGUUUUUCAUCACUAUCAAGCAGAGUAGGUAUUAUUUGAGAUUAGGAUUAAAACUCUACUGCACCCAACAAGCAAAGGAGCAUGCAGUGGUAAAUCCUUUUCAUUAUUUCUAGGGAUACUAGUGAAUUGCAGUGGUACUAGUAGUUGUAUCACUAAUCUUUUUUUUUUUUCCUGUAUUGUUUUUGAUUUGGUGCAUAAGGGCAGCUUUGAGGUUUUCUUUCUUUGAUCUCUUUAAGGUCAGAAAAGCCUCAAUUUAUUCCUUUUGUAUUUGUUUGCUAACAUUUUCUUUGAGCACAUGCAUAUCUAUAGUGUCACUGGAUUUAGCUUUUACAUUUAACCAUUUAAAAGAGCUGCUGGUAUUUGCCUUCUUGCAUUUUCAGUUGAAGCUUGUAGGAGAAACAUCAAGUUCAAUGGUUCAGUUGCAUGUUCAAAGGUGGAAUCACAUCUUGGUGAUGUUCGUGUGCAUAUAUAUGUUAAUUCCUUGAUGGUCAUUGCUUUCUUUUUUCAAUUCUUUUGCCACUGGUUUUGUUAAUCUCACUUGCCUUGAUCAGAGUAGCUCUUUCAAGGUCUUUGUAUUCCUUUCUUAUAAAAAAACGUCAUUUCAAACCAUGAAGCAUUGUUGACUUGUUGAGUUUCUGAAGCAUGUUACCUUGCUAUUUUUAUUGAAGUUAAUGUUGAUAAAAUUCAAGUUGUCUUGCUUUGUUGUCUUUGAGUAAAAAUUAACCUGUUAGAUUUCUUGUUGUGCUUCUAGAAAUUUGAAAAUUUAAUAUCAAGCAUUUUUGAUAGCUACCAAAAUAAAAGCAUAUAUGAAGGAAAAUAUCAUUGGACAAGUGGUUCAACUAUUUGUGUUGUAGAUGCUUAAUCCUUUGCAGACCAUACAAUGGUCUGAAGUGUAAGCUUGGCACUUUGGUAGGUUGCUCCAUUGCAACCUGAAGGUCCCGGGUUUGAAGGGGGAGAUAGCCUCUCCCAGAUGGGGUCAACAGUCUCUAGGCUCUGCAAUGGCUGGAUUCCCAUGCAUAUUGAGCUGUCUGUGUGAGUUGUGCUUGUUAUUCUCUCUUUUGUCUUGUAACAUCAUGUAUGUGAUUUUAAGAUGUUGCUCAUUAUUCUUUCUUUGCACGGUUUCAUCAUGCACUCCUUCUUGGCAUAGACAAGGAAAUUUAGCUAUGAAGCUCACUGAUAUGCUAUAUAUUUUUGCAUUCCCAGAAAAUAGACGAGAAGGCAAUCAAUGAGCACAAGCAAUUAAUCGGGACAUAAACUUUUUCUGGUGUCAUUGUACUUUCUGAUAUGGGGUGAGGCUGCAAAUGUCCACUUUCUUCCUGAAUGCAUUUGCUACAUGUUUGACCAUAUGGCGAAGGAGUUAGAUGCUAUUCCUGCUGCUGGCUGCACAAUAGAAAAUGAUUAUGUGUCCUUCCUCAAGCAGAUUGUUUAUCCUAUGUAUGAAACAUUGGCAGCGGAAGCUGCUAGAAACAAUAACGGGAAAGCUGCACAUUUCAGUGUGGCGGAAUUAUGACGACUUCAAUGAAUACUUUUGCUUUGUUUGCUUGUCAUUCAAUUAUGGAUGAACAAUGUGAUUCCUUCUUUUUGGUGUGUGAAGCGUCUGUGGAAUAUGCAGGUCACCUGCUUGUUUAGUUGAGCUAAGAGAUUGGAUGAAGAUUGUGGAAUCGUAAGUCCCUUGUAUUGAUCAUACAUAUUCGGUUGUUGCUGAAGGAAAGCAUCAUUUUUGUGCUUCUCUGCUGGUCCAAUAUUCAUGCACUGUGUGGCAUGUUUUGUAACAAAUAGUUUGUAUUUGUAUCAGCUUUUGAUGUCCCAGGUAGAUGGGCAUGCAUUUGAAUGCUUUUCUUCUUUUAAUGUUGGCUUGAAUGAUUGGGAAAUCCUUCCUUUUAACGUUUGAAUGCUUUUCUUCAAAUAGUAUGAGUUGGAUUACUCUUUAUUCAUA